rnacentral:rRNA from 1 species
CCUACGGGCGGCAGCAGUAAGGAAUAUUGGUCAAUGGAGGAAACUCUGAACCAGCCAUCCCGCGUGAAGGAUGAAGGGGCUCUGCCUUGUAAACUUCUUUUGUCUGGGGCGAAAAAGCUCGAUUUAUCGAGAACUGACGGUACCAGAAGAAUAAGCACCGGCUAACUCCGUGCCAGCAGCCGCGGUAAUACGGAGGGUGCCGGCGUGACCCGGAAUCACGGGGGCGUAGGGGUGCGUAGGAGGCUGAGUAGAGAGGCUGUGGCUUAACCAUGGAAUUGCCAUUGAGACUGCAGAGCUUGAAUGAGGUUGAGGUUGGCGGAAUGUGACAUGUAGCGGUGAAAUGCUUAGAUAUGUCAUGGAACACCGAUUGCGAAGGCAGCUGACUGGACCUAUAUUGACGCUGAGGCACGAAAGCGUGGGGAGCGAACAGGAUUAGAUACCCUAGUAGUC